AUUGAACGCUGGCGGCAGGCUUAACACAUGCAAGUCGAGCGGAGAUGAGGUGCUUGCACCUUAUCUUAGCGGCGGACGGGUGAGUAAUGCUUAGGAAUCUGCCUAUUAGUGGGGGACAACAUUCCGAAAGGAAUGCUAAUACCGCAUACGUCCUACGGGAGAAAGCAGGGGAUCUUCGGACCUUGCGCUAAUAGAUGAGCCUAAGUCGGAUUAGCUAGUUGGGGGGGUAAAGGCCUACCAAGGCGACGAGCUGUAGCGGGUCUGAGAGGAUGAUCCGCCACACUGGGACUGAGACACGGCCCAGACUCCUACGGGAGGCAGCAGUGGGGAAUAUUGGACAAUGGGGGGAACCCUGAUCCAGCCAUGCCGCGUGUGUGAAGAAGGCCUUAUGGUUGUAAAGCACUUUAAGCGAGGAGGAGGCUACUGAGACUAAUACUCUUGGAUAGUGGACGUUACUCGCAGAAUAAGCACCGGCUAACUCUGUGCCAGCCGCCGCAGUAAUAC
rnacentral:rRNA from 1 species